rnacentral:piRNA from 1 species
UAUCUGCACGGCAGUGGUGACUCUAGAGG